AUCAUGACUUAGAAAUGUCAAAGCCAUCGACACUCACAAGGGCUCUCAGGGAUUCCUUCCUUUUUACCGCCUUCCCAAAGAAGCACGCAGCCACUUCUCUCGCGAGAGAUGUUCAUGGGCGUCGGAGGAUCUCCUGCGUCACCGCGAGGAAGUGUUAUCACCCGGAGAGCGACACAUCCGCGUAAUUUCAUCUUUGUAUGUGUGUCGGUCAAAAAUAUCAUAGACCUUUUUACAAAACGGAUUUGCAUAGCCGUUCUUUCUGUCUGGGACCGUUUUGAAGAACGGAAGUGCGCGUCGUGUAGUAUAUAAAAAGCCUUGCGAACAAACACGUUAAAAUUAAAAGGAAACUGUGUUAAAAUGUAUCAAAAAUAGAAAGCCAAUACAAAAAGUGCUUAAACUACACACAAGACCUAGUGUAACAGCACGCUCUACAAAAAAAAAAAAACAACAUAAAAAGGUCCAAGAGGGCCUUUUUUGUUUUGGUUUAUUCCUUUUCGUUCGGCUAAGCAGCACACGGCACAACAAAGUCCAACAUCCAGACAGGAAGAAUCUACCGACUUGCUAAAAUACCAUCCACACGGUAUCGACUGGAACGGUCAUCACCAGCGGUGUUAGAAACAUCGAUCCGCAGCUCGUGGGCUCUUCCGGGACGCCGGAAUGGAGCCUAUGAGGUUAGAACCAGUUCUAGACAGACGUGGAAUCUGUCAACCAGAGGAAAGUCUCCGGUCCCAGUAUUUCGGGUUCCGGCAAACAGCCAUGCAGAGCCAAACCACUAGUAAUCACGCAAGUAACAAAAGCCCCUUAUGUGACGUCAGUAAAAGAAAUUAGUCUUAAAUAUAUUCAGAAUGUAACCCAUUAAAAGCCAAUAGAUCUUAUCUGUUAGUAGAGUAAUUUUGAACUUUUUACACUUAUUUUGUCCGUUUCACGUUCUGGGCCAGGAGGGCCCCACCCAAAACUUCACUUCAAAUCAGUCCCUGGCAGAAUUAGUUCAUUUUAAAAUAAUAGUUUGACCCGGUUGGGAACAUGCGAGGUACCACUCGCAGUGUGGCAAUGGUAAAUUUUCCCCGUUUCAUGAACAUCCCUAUUGGAGUUUCCUCUAAUAUUCUGAAUACUCCGGAGGAAGUAGUCUGUGCUAUCCCUCAGAAAAAUACGACCCUGAGUUCCACUCAUU